rnacentral:rRNA from 1 species
CCUACGGGAGGCAGCAGUGAGGAAUAUUGGUCAAUGGGCGGGAGCCUGAACCAGCCAAGCCGCGUGAGGGAAGAAGGUACAGCGUAUCGUAAACCUCUUUUGUCAGGGAACAAAGGCGGGGACUAGUCCCCGGCUGAGGGUACCUGAAGAACAAGCAUCGGCUAACUCCGUGCCAGCAGCCGCGGUAAUAGGGGGGAUGCGAGCGUUAUCCGGAUUUAUUGGGUGUAAAGGGUGCGCAGGCGGCCUGUUAAGUCAGCGGUAAAAGCCCGGGGGUAAACCCGGGCGAGCCGUGGAAACUGGGGGGCUGGAGUUGGAGAGAGGUACGCGGAAUGCGCGGUGUAGCGGGGAAAUGCUUAGAUA